CCUACGGGUGGCAGCAGUGGGGAAUAUUGGACAAUGGGGGGAACCCUGAUCCAGCCAUGCCGCGUGUGUGAAGAAGGCCCUCGGGUUGUAAAGCACUUUCAGUGAGGAAGAACGCCUGGUGGUUAAUACCCAUCAGGAAAGACAUCACUCACAGAAGAAGCACCGGCUAACUCCGUGCCAGCAGCCGCGGUAAUACGGAGGGUGCGAGCGUUUACCGGAAUUACUGGGCGUAAAGCGCGCGUAGGUGGCUUGAUAAGCCGGUUGUGAAAGCCCCGGGCUCAACCUGGGAACGGCAUCCGGAACUGUCAAGCUAGAGUGCAGGAGAGGAAGGUAGAAUUCCCGGUGUAGCGGUGAAAUGCGUAGAGAUCGGGAGGAAUACCAGUGGCGAAGGCGGCCUUCUGGACUGACACUGACACUGAGGUGCGAAAGCGUGGGUAGCAAACAGGAUUAGAUACCCCGGGUAGUC
rnacentral:rRNA from 1 species